rfam:Ciona savignyi cont_62993, whole genome shotgun sequence.
GCUUAUCACCAUUCCAGAUUGAAUAUACCCGAUCUCGUCUGAUCUCGGAAGUCAAGCAAUCUCGGGUUUGGUUAGUACUUGGAUGGGUGACCGCUUGGGAAUACCAAGUGUGAUAAGCA